UACGGGGGGAGCAAGCGUUGUUCGGAUUUACUGGGCGUAAAGGGCGCGUAGGCGGCCACCGCAAGUCGACUGUGAAAUCUCCGGGCUUAACCCGGAAAGGUCAGCCGAUACUGCGGGGCUAGAGUGCAGAAGGGGCAACUGGAAUUCUCGGUGUAGCGGUGAAAUGCGCAGAUAUUGGGAAGAACACCAGUGGCGAAGGCGGUUCUCUGGGACGGUACUGACGCUGAGACGCGAAAGCGUGGGGAGCGAACAGG
rnacentral:rRNA from 1 species